rnacentral:rRNA from 1 species
GACGAACGCUGGCGGCGUGCUUAACACAUGCAAGUCGAACGGAAAGGUCCUGCUUUUGUGGGGUGCUCGAGUGGCGAACGGGUGAGUAACACGUGAGUAACCUGCCCUUGACUUUGGGAUAACUUCAGGAAACUGGGGCUAAUACCGGAUAGGAGCUCCUGCUGCACGUGGGGGGAUGGAAAGUUUCGGCGGUUGGGGAUGGACUCGCGGCUUAUCAGCUUGUUGGUGGGGUAGUGGCUUACCAAGGCUUUGACGGGUAGCCGGCCUGAGAGGGUGACCGGCCACAAUGGGACUGAGAUACGGCCCAGACUCCUACGGGAGGCAGCAGUGGGGAGUAUUGCACAAUGGGCGGAAGCCUGAUGCAGCAACGCCGCGUGCGGGAUGACGGCCUUCGGGUUGUAAACCGCUUUCGCCGGUGACGAAGCGUGAGUGACGGUAAUGGGUAAAGAAGCACCGGCUAACUACGUG